rnacentral:rRNA from 1 species
UACGAAGGGGGCUAGCGUUUGUUCGGAUUUACUGGGCGUAAAGCGCGCGUAGGUGGCUUCGUAAGUCCGUUGUGAAAGUCAAAGGCUCAACCUUUGAAUGCCGAUGGAUACUGCGGAGCUAGAGUACGGAAGAGGCGAGUGGAAUUCCUGGUGUAGCGGUGGAAUGCGCAGAUAUCAGGAGGAACACCAACAGCGAAGGCAGAUCUCUGGGACGUUACUGACGCUGAGACGCGAAAGCGUGGGGAGCAAACAGG